rnacentral:lncRNA from 15 species
GUAGAAAAUCUGUAUACUUCAUCCGCUCUGGUAUAAUCAGUAUUAUUUUGGUGUAAUGACGUCAUUGCCUUGUUUCUGAAGCCGGCAGUAAACUGAAUGUUUUUAGUCCAGCUUGUUGCUGCCGGUGAGUGAAUGUAACUGAGUACAUUUACCUAAAUCCUGUACUUAAGUACAAUUUUUAAUACUCCUCCUCUCGUGUCUGUUACUUUACUUCCUCUCGGCUCUGAUUAGUUUCACCUGAGUGUAGUUGUCCUCCGCUCACCUGUGUAUUCAGUCUUUGUGUUUCCUCAUGUUUUUGGUUUUUUUGGGUUCUGGGUCUGUCCCUGUUGGAUUUGUUUGCCUGUUGGACUGCAUGGCGAGGGCGAGUGGUGUUCAGUUGGCUGCAAUCCUCCACACUGGCCCUUAAGUCCAUCUUGCUGCUAACACACUUCAGUAAGAUAUUGAAUGCAGGAAUAUUUCUGUGUUAUAUUGUAACUCUCACUACUAAAGGAGUAUUUCUUCCACCGAUGGUCGUUUCUGAGCGGAGGCUGAAGAUUGUGGGCGUGAUGAACGUGGCUCUGAUCCAUGACAGACUGCACAUUAAGACGUUCUGGGAGAAGAGGAUUAACAAUGAUUGUGAGCACGCUGAGAGCGAGGAGCAGCGGAAGGAAAAGAGUGCGCUCAAAAAGUGAGUAAAGUGUGUAAACCUGGUUUGUAGAGUCCCGUUUUUAAGCAUUAUGGUCUCCAUCUUGGUUUUUAGCAGCCAGUGGAGGUGAGCUGCUCUCAUUGGCUGCUCGCCUGCUCACACAGGAUCUGGUGUUCCAGAUAAACAGUAAAAUGUGUUUGUGAACAGAUUUGAGGAGAGAAAUAGUCAACAACAGAAUCUGGAUCCAUAUCUGAUCCGCACUGUUUGACAGUUUGAUCUGAGUUUGGUGCGUUGAGCUGGACGGACUCACUGAGAAUGAGCUGUCAAUCACAAGGUAGCCCCGCCCUAAGCAUACCCUGCUUUAUGGUCUGUUUUACUCUCAAUGGGACCAUCAGUUACUAAAUGAACAUCAUGCUGUAUGGAAGAAGACUGAAACUAGAGACUGAGACCAGAAACUCAUCAGGAAACUGUUUACUGAACUCAUCAAUCAUCAAGUCAGAAUUACAUAACAUUGUAUGUUUAGUAUAGAUCUUGUGUUUGUGUGCUGUAGUGUUACAGUGAGAAUUCUGAUCUCCUGCACAGACGUGAGUUGAGAGUCAGAACACAGUGAAUGAAAAAGCUGUAUCCUCGUCCACGGCCUCUCCAAAC